rnacentral:rRNA from 1 species
GAUGAACGCUGGCGGCGUGCCUAAUACAUGCAAGUCGAGCGAACAGACGAGGAGCUUGCUCCUCUGACGUUAGCGGCGGACGGGUGAGUAACACGUGGAUAACCUACCUAUAAGACUGGGAUAACUUCGGGAAACCGGCGCUAAUACCGGAUAAUAUAUUGAACCGCAUGGUUCAAUAGUGAAAGACGGUUUUGCUGUCACUUAUAGAUGGAUCCGCGCCGCAUUAGCUAGUUGGUAAGGUAACGGCUUACCAAGGCAACGAUGCGUAGCCGACCUGAGAGGGUGAUCGGCCACACUGGAACUGAGACACGGUCCAGACUCCUACGGGAGGCAGCAGUAGGGAAUCUUCCGCAAUGGGCGAAAGCUUGACGGAGCAACGCCGCGUGAGUGAUGAAGGUCUUCGGAUCGUAAAACUCUGUUAUGAGGGAAGAACAAAUGUGUAAGUAACUAUGCACGUCUUGACGGUACCUAAUCAGAAAGCCACGGCUAACUACGUG